rnacentral:rRNA from 1 species
UACGAAGGGUGCAAGCGUUAAUCGGAAUUACUGGGCGUAAAGGGUGCGUAGGCGGUUCGUUAAGUCUGUCGUGAAAUCCCCGGGCUCAACCUGGGAAUGGCGAUGGAUACUGGCGAGCUAGAGUGUGUCAGAGGAUGGUGGAAUUCCCGGUGUAGCGGUGAAAUGCGUAGAGAUCGGGAGGAACAUCAGUGGCGAAGGCGGCCAUCUGGGACAACACUGACACUGAGAGACGAAAGCUAGGGGAGCAAAUGGG